UCACCCAGAAGGUUCUAUCGCUGAGGCAUAUAUUUCUAAAGAGAGUACAACAUUUUGCUCAAUGUACCUCGAUGGAAUCGAAACAGUGUUUAACAGAGAAGAAAGGAAUGAUGACGGUGGUGAUCAUGGCACGGGGUUAGCAGUCUUCACUCAAAGUGCCCGACCAUUUGGGUUAAUCCGAAGGGGACCUGAUGUGCCGAUCAAUGAACUCGAGAUGGCUGAAUGGUUUGUCUUAUACAAUAGUUCAGAAGUGGAUCAAUAUCGAGAGGAACACAAGAACUACAUACAAGGUGAGAGUGAAGUUGACAUCACAAACAGACAACGUAAAGAAUUUUCCAAGUGGUUCAAAGAUCGCGUAAGCAAAAUUAAUUAACAUGUAGGCACCUUGAGUUAUCCUUGUAUUUGAAAGUGAAGUAACAUAUUAUGUCACUUUUUUGUUAUAGAUGACUCAACUUCGAAACCAGCGAUCACCGGAAGCUACUGAUGAAUUAUGGUCAUUGGCCAACGGUCCUCGUCCGAUAGUCAACAUAUAUUCAGGGUGCUUUUGUAAUGGUGUCCGAUUCCAUACCAUCGAACGUGACAACCGCCGUAAAAGCCAGAAUAGUGGGUUAGUUGUUGAAGGGGACCACGAAGGGCAACCGAUUGACUUCUACGGUUACUUGUGCAAAGUUUGGGAAUUAACAUAUAUGUUCGGACAACAAGUCGUCUUGUUCCAAUGCGAAUGGUUCAACACUGGAAGUAAAAAAACUUUCUGCAUUGAUGCGCAUUGCACUAGCAUUGAUACAAGAAGUCGGUGGUACAAAGAUGAUUUUUUUGUACUACCGAGUCAAGUGCAGCAAGUAUUCUAUAUUAAUGACACUGCAGAGAGACGUGGCAAUUGAAAAGUUGUCCAAAGAUUCAAGCAUCGAGGACAAGUUCAAAAUCUCGGAUGAUUAUCAUGGCAAUCUAGUAUCUCA